UUCCCUCUAGCUCAGUUGCAGAGCAUGUGCUUUGCAUGCAGAAGGAGGCAGGCUCAAUCCCUGUUUGAGUGGAG